AUACGUAGGGGGCUAGCGUUGUCCGGAAUCAUUGGGCGUAAAGGGUUCGUAGGCGGUAAUACAUGUCAGAUGUGAAAUCUUGUGGCUUAACCACAUCAAGCAUCUGAAACUGUAUAACUUGAGUGAAGGAGAGGUAAGUGGAAUUCCUGGUGUAGCGGUGAAAUGCGUAGAUAUCAGGAGGAACACCGGUGGCGAAGGCGGCUUGCUGGGCUUUUACUGACGCUGAGGCUCGAAAGCGUGGGUAGCAAACAGGAUUAGAUACCCUGGUAGUCCACGCUGUAAACGAUGAUUACUAGGUGUGGGGGGACUAACCCCUUCCGUGCCGCAGUUAACACAAUAAGUAAUCCACCUGGGGAGUACGGCCGCAAGGUUGAAACUCAAAUGAAUUGACGGGG
rnacentral:rRNA from 1 species